rnacentral:ncRNA from 1 species
CGCCGGUGCGUCCGGGUGAAAAGGGAAUCGGGUGUGAGGCCCGAGCGAUCCGGUCACUGUAAUCAGGGAGUACGGCGCAUAUAUCCAUUGUAUGCAGAGCAUAUGAGAAGGGGCGUUACGCGAUGAUCUGAGAGCCAGGAAACCUGCUUGUUUC